GGUCAUGUGGCCGAGUGGUGAGGCACAGGUCUGCAAAACCUUAUACGGCGGUUCGACCCCGUCCAUGACCU
rnacentral:tRNA from 1 species